GGGUCGAUGCCCGAGCGGUUUAUGGGGACGGACUGUAAAUUCGUUGACAAUAUGUCUACGCUGGUUCAAAUCCAGCUCGGCCCA
rnacentral:tRNA from 1 species